rnacentral:misc_RNA from 1 species
CCGAGAGACGGGUCCGAAUCGGCCCCACUCUUCACCCGUGUAUACCUACCUACGUUGCUUUGGCGGGCCUUCGUGCUCCGUGGUUCGGCGCCGACUCAGGGGUCCUCCGGCCCCGAGCCCGGCGAGAGCCCGCCAGAGGUUCAUUAAACUCUAGUAUUGAUGUAGUCCGAGUAAACCAUAAUAGUUA